CCUACGGGUGGCUGCAGUGGGGAAUAUUGGACAAUGGGCGAAAGCCUGAUCCAGCCAUGCCGCGUGUGUGAAGAAGGCCUUCGGGUUGUAAAGCACUUUCAGUGGGGAAGAAAGCCUUGGGGCUAAUACCCUCGAGGAAGGACAUCACCCACAGAAGAAGCACCGGCUAACUCCGUGCCAGCAGCCGCGGUAAUACGGAGGGUGCGAGCGUUAAUCGGAAUUACUGGGCGUAAAGCGCGCGUAGGCGGUCUGAUAAGCCGGUUGUGAAAGCCCCGGGCUCAAACUGGGAACGGCAUCCGGAACUGUCAGGCUAGAGUGCAGGAGAGGAAGGUAGAAUUCCCGGUGUAGCGGUGAAAUGCGUAGAGAUCGGGAGGAAUACCAGUGGCGAAGGCGGCCUUCUGGACUGACACUGACGCUGAGGUGCGAAAGCGUGGGUAGCAAACAGGAUUAGAUACCCUGGUAGUC
rnacentral:rRNA from 1 species